CAGACAUGCUGCCAACACGCGCGAGACUCGAGCACGAUUCCUCAGACUUGAGACAGAGAAGAAAAGACGACUGAGCCAAUCAGAGUAAAAGGCGCCGCCCCAAGUUCAGCCCCGCCCCGAUCUGCAGGCUGCAGCCAGGUGUACUUGGCCAGAGAGGGGGUGGUGGAAGUGAAGCUCCACCCUUUAGCUCAAGCGGCACGAGCCCAACUUCUACAUCCCUCGACAUGGCCACCACGCAAAUCGAGUGACCUGCAUUCACUGGUGACAGCAAGCUAACAGCCUGUGGGCGUCUGAGUGCAAACCUCCAGCAAUCUUACGUACGUCUCAAGCCAUCUGGACCCCUGUUCACUGCCAAGUUAUGUAAGUCUGAAAAAGAACAUGGCGUCUAUCCCAAACACUGAGCUCAACGCCAUCUGAGAUGACAUUUCACUAUCAACUCCCCUCAACACACAUUCAUCAAUACACAGUAUGGAAAGAAGUCAGAAACAGAAAGCUUAUGGUCAACGCAAAUUUUCACUUUUGUAUCUGGACCUAUACGGCUAUGUCUGAUGAAUAAACAUGAAACAUUUCUUUUAAGAAAGCAAUGAAAAUAUGCUGUUUUGGAGCGAUCAGGCACAAUUUACAUGAAAAUUACUAAUACUGGGAAGGAACCGGUUCACACAUUUAGUUUCAUCGUCUCACACUGACGUCCAUACUUUUAUUUAGUUAUAUACACAUAUUUGCACACCAUAUUGAGUUAAUGGGCUUUAAUCGGUUACAAAAAUCACUAUUUAUGUUAAAAUAGAAAUAUUUGUCAUCUCUCUAUGGUGUUUGCAGUGAUGUGCUUUCAGACCGAGGUAAAACCCUCUGAACUUCACAUUUUGCCAGGUAUUAUUGUCGGGUAGAGUGAGGGAUUCACUCAGCUGGCUCUACCCCGCUUUAAAGAACCUCCAUCUGUAAGAUUCAGAUUCAGUUUCAUUAUGGAGGUAACAUAAUAAAGUCAAUGAUUUUAGGACCUGCAAAAUGGUUUUAGUAGCUGGAAAGAAAAAAAAAAAGAUCAGUGAUUGUCAAAUAGUAGCUUAUACACGUUUCAAUAACAUUACAAAAAUGGCACAAUAUUUAGCAUAAACAUUUAUAGAG